CCUGCACUGGACCGUGUGGAUGUGGAACCUUCCCGUUGUUACAAGUGUGCGCUGGGCAAUGUGGCCGGAGCGCUCCUCCCCUCUGGCAGGCCUGGCAGCUAUCUGUGCUGAUGGCUGAUCACACAUCCUGGAGCCUCUAGAAACUGGGGAAGCAGAUCCUCCUGCUACCUGGUGAUGGACCUAGACUGAGGAGAUGGAAUUUCACUUUAUCGCCCUUGGUAGAGUGCUGUGGCAUCAGAAAAGUAACCAGCGGCAAAAACAAGGUCCCCGUUGAAUUCCCCGCGGGCCGGGGCAAUUGGCGCCCGACGAGGGGCAAGGGUACGGGGGUGUCAUCGAACGUUGCUGCCAGUAAGGGUACCCUUAUCAUUGGAUUGCCGCAACACCAAGGUUGUGAGUGAAAAUCCGCACUGUGAUCGCCGCGCCACAAGAAGGACGUGAGUGAAGAUCCGCACUGAGAUCGCCGCAGAACUGCCCACCUGCGAGUCUGAUCCGUCAAGGUAAGAAAAAGCAACGAGUUUAUGGGACAAACGUUAAGUAAACAUAACUUGUUUAUUCAGGGACUCAAGGAGUCCCUCAAGACACGAGGAAUUCGGGUAAAGAAAAAAGGAUCUCUAUAAAUUUUUUGUUUUUAUUGGUGAUAUCUGUCCUUGGUUCCCCCAAGAAGGCACUAUUGAUGUUCUGAGAUGGACUAGAGUCGGUGAUUGUCUAAAAGAUUAUUAUAGAACAUUUGGCCCCGAAAAAAUCCCCGUUCAGGCAUUUUCCUACUGGAACUUGAUCUAUGAUAUUUUAAAAACUUACAACCAAUGGCCUGAUAUCCAAGAAGUUGUUAAAGAAGGAGAAAAGGUGCUUAAAGAACACUCCAGACCACCCUCAGCCUGCCCUUCUGUUUCUAUUCCUAUGCCUGAGUCUGACACUCCCCCCAAUCCUGA